GCACUCGUAGCUCAAUUGGAUAGAGCAUCGGCCUUCGGAGCCGAGGGUUGGGGGUUCGAAUCCCUCCGAGUGCG
rnacentral:tRNA from 1 species